rnacentral:rRNA from 1 species
UACGGGGGGAGCAAGCGUUGUUCGGAUUUACUGGGCGUAAAGGGCGCGUAGGCGGUCGUGACAAGUCACUUGUGAAAUCUCCGGGCUUAACUCGGAAAGGUCAACUGAUACUGCGGGGCUAGAGUGCGGAAGGGGCAACUGGAAUUCUCGGUGUAGCGGUGAAAUGCGUAGAUAUCGAGAGGAACACCUGCGGCGAAGGCGGGUUGCUGGGCCGACACUGACGCUGGAUGCGCGAAAGCCAGGGGAGCGAACGGG